rnacentral:rRNA from 1 species
UACAGAGGUCUCAAGCGUUGUUCGGAAUCACUGGGCGUAAAGGGUGCGUAGGCCGCACGGUAAGUCAGAGGUGAAAUCCCGGAGCUCAACUCCGGAAUUGCCUCCGAUACUGCCGUGCUUGAGGACUGGAGAGGAGAUUGGAAUCACAGUGGAGCAGUGAAAUGCGUAGAUAUUGUGAGGAACACUAGUGGCGAAGGCGAAUCUCUGGACAGUUCCUGACGCUGGGGCACGAAGGCCAGGGGAGCAAACGGG